rnacentral:SRP_RNA from 1 species
GCCGGGUGCGGUGGCAUGUGCCUGUAAUCCAAGUCACUGGGAGGCUGAGGUUGGUGGAUCAAGUGAGCUGAGGAGCUCUGGGCUGCAGCACGCUAUGUCGAACGGGUGUCCACGCUAAGUUCGGUAUCGAUAUGGUGUUCCUGGGAGCCCGGGACCACCAGGUUGUCUAAGGAGGGGUGAACCGGCCCAGGUCGGAAACGAAGCAGGUCAAAUCCCCCGUGCUGUCCAGUAGUGGGAUAAUACCUGUGAGUAGAUGCUGCAGUGCAGCCUUGGCAAAACAUCGAGACCUAAUCUUUU